AUUGAACGCUGGCGGCAGGCCUAACACAUGCAAGUCGAACGAGUGGCGGACGGGUGAGUAAUGCUUGGGAAUCUGCCUUAUGGAGGGGGAUAACUACUGGAAACUGUAGCUAAUACCGCGUACCAUCGGAUGUGCCCAAGUGGGAUUAGGUAGUUGGUGGGGUAAAGGCUCACCAAGCCGACGAUCUCUAGCUGGUCUGAGAGGAUGACCAGACACACUGGGACUGAGAAUCGGCCCAGACUCCUACGGGAGGGAGCAGUGGGGAAUAUUGCGCAAUGGGGGCAACCUGACGCAGCCAUGCCGCGUGAAUGAAGAAGGCCUUCGGGUUGUAAAGUGCUUUCGGUAGAGAGGCGUUAACUACAGAAGAAGAAACGGCUAACUCCGUGCCAGCAGCCGCGGUAAAC
rnacentral:rRNA from 1 species